GUGGUAACACAGCUGGUACGAAGCCGUUCAAAACCGGCCCACCGUGUUCUCUGUGCGCCAGGGGAGCGGGAUGGUGUGAGGACGACUUCUGUGUUGACUGCCCCACAAAGAACUGCACCUGUCCCAUGGAGUGCCGUAACUGUGCAGUAAAGGACACAGCGGAGUGCCAGUGUGACUGUAAGGAUGGCUGGGACGGGCUGGACUGCUCAGUGGUGUGUAAAGACUGGCACCGUAACUGCGGAAGGAGUCCAGGUUGGCCUACCACGCAGUACUGCACAGAUGCUACCAUCGGGGCCAUAGUCACAGCACAGUGUAGAGUGCUUUGCGGACAAUGUG